rnacentral:rRNA from 1 species
CCUACGGGUGGCAGCAGUGGGGAAUAUUGGAUAAUGGGCGAAAGCCUGAUCCAGCCAUGCCGCGUGUGUGAAGAAGGCCUUCGGGUUGUAAAGCACUUUCAGUGGGGAAGAAAGCCUUGGGGCUAAUACCCUCGAGGAAGGACAUCACCCACAGAAGAAGCACCGGCUAACUCCGUGCCAGCAGCCGCGGUAAUACGGAGGGUGCGAGCGUUAAUCGGAAUUACUGGGCGUAAAGCGCGCGUAGGCGGUCUGAUAAGCCGGUUGUGAAAGCCCCGGGCUCAACCUGGGAACGGCAUCCGGAACUGUCAGGCUAGAGUGCAGGAGAGGAAGGUAGAAUUCCCGGUGUAGCGGUGAAAUGCGUAGAGAUCGGGAGGAAUACCAGUGGCGAAGGCGGCCUUCUGGACUGACACUGACGCUGAGGUGCGAAAGCGUGGGUAGCAAACAGGAUUAGAUACCCUAGUAGUC